AGAACGAACGCUGGCGGCAUGCCUAACACAUGCAAGUCGAACGAUGCUUUCGGGCAUAGUGGCGCACGGGUGAGUAACGCGUGGGAACCUGCCUCUUGGUUCGGAAUAACUGCGGGAAACUGCAGCUAAUACCGGAUACGUCGGUCUCUUAUAGUGGGGGAUCGGGAAAGAUUUAUCGCCGAGAGAGGGGCCCGCGUUCGAUUAGGUAGUUGGUGAGGUAACGGCUCACCAAGCCUACGAUCGAUAGCUGGUCUGAGAGGAUGAUCAGCCACACUGGGACUGAGACACGGCCCAGACUCCUACGGGAGGCAGCAGUGGGGAAUAUUGGACAAUGGGCGCAAGCCUGAUCCAGCAAUGCCGCGUGAGUGAUGAAGGCCUUAGGGUUGUAAAGCUCUUUCGGCGGGGACGAUGAUGACGGUACCCGCAGAGAAGCCCCGGCUAACUUCGUGCCAGCAGCCGC
rnacentral:rRNA from 1 species